AUGGCUAGAUGUUCCAUCUGUGGGCUGGAGGAUGAGAAUGAAUAUCAUGCAGUAAUUGCCUGUACCAAAGCAAGAGCGCUCAGGUCUGAAUUACGCAAAUUCUGGCACCUUCCGUCAGAGAACCGGUUCUGCUACACGGGGAAUGAUUGGCUCCUUGUACUGUUAGACGCAUGCGAUGAAACUACGAGGGCCCGGAUCCUCUUGCUGAUUUGGAGAGCUUGGCACCUUCGGAACAACUGUGUACAUGAGGGAGGAAAAGCAUCA
rnacentral:rRNA from 1 species